GAUGAACGCUGGCGGCGUGCCUAAUACAUGCAAGUCGAGCGAACAGACGAGGAGCUUGCUCCUCUGACGUUAGCGGCGGACGGGUGAGUAACACGUGGAUAACCUACCUAUAAGACUGGGAUAGCUUCGGGAAACCGGAGCUAAUACCGGAUAAUAUAUUGAACCGCAUGGUUCAAUAGUGAAAGACGGUUUUGCUGUCACUUAUAGAUGGAUCCGCGCCGCAUUAGCUAGUUGGUAAGGUAACGGCUUACCAAGGCAACGAUGCGUAGCCGACCUGAGAGGGUGAUCGGCCACACUGGAACUGAGACACGGUCCAGACUCCUACGGGAGGCAGCAGUAGGGAAUCUUCCGCAAUGGGCGAAAGCCUGACGGAGCAACGCCGCGUGAGUGAUGAAGGUCUUCGGAUCGUAAAACUCUGUUAUUAGGGAAGAGCAAAUGUGUAAGUAACUAUGCACGUCUUGACGGUACCUAAUCAGAAAGCCACGGCUAACUACGUG
rnacentral:rRNA from 1 species